CCUACGGGUGGCAGCAGUGAGGAAUAUUGGUCAAUGGACGGAAGUCUGAACCAGCCAUGCCGCGUGCAGGACGACGGCUCUAUGAGUUGUAAACUGCUUUUGUACAAGGGUAAACCUGAAUACGUGUAUUCAGCUGAAAGUCCUGUACGAAUAAGGAUCGGCUAACUCCGUUCCAGCAGCCGCGGGAAUACGUAGGGGGCAAGCGUUAUCCGGAAUUACUGUGUGUAAAGGGAGCGUAGACGGUGAUGUAAGUCUGGAGUUAAAGGCGGGGGCCCAACCCCCGGACUGCUCUGGACACUAAGUGACGUGAGUGCAGUAGAGGGGAGCGGAAUGCCGAGUGUAGCGGUGAAAUGCGUAGAUAUUAGGAGGAACACCAGUGGCGAAGGCGGCUCACUGGACUGUAACUGACGUUGAGGCUCGAAAGCGUGGGGAGCAAACAGGAUUAGAUACCCCUGUAGUC
rnacentral:rRNA from 1 species